rnacentral:rRNA from 1 species
AUGUCGCAGUCCGACGCCGACCGUCUUGCUGCCGAGAAAGUUGAGGCGACAAGAGGCCGCCGAGGACGCCGCUGCUGCCACCACCGCCGCGGCCUCUGCAUGGCCUACUGGAGGAGGGAUUCAGAUCAACCAUCGGUGUCCGUGGAUAAAUCAUCUAUACUGUUCGCGGAUGAUAGUUUGAUCUUCAUGCAAGCUUCGGUUCAUAGUGCUCAUAGAUUGAAUGCUAUUCUCGGAAUCUAUGGGGAGUGUUCUGUGGAAGCUUUUGGUGAAUGUUACCUCGGUCUUCCAACAGCCGUUGGUCGAAUUACAGGAGGUACUUUUGAUCACAUUGGAGACAGGAUCCGGACCAAACUCCAAGGUGGUAUAGAGAGACUAAUCUCUUGUGCUGGAAGGGAUGUCGGAAUCAAAGCAGUUGCUCAGUCUAUACAUACAUACAGUAUGUCUUGCUUCCAGUUAACAAAGAAAGUCUGCAAAACUCUGGCCUCGUACAUGGCAAAAUAUUGGUGGAGUAGCAAUCUUGAUCGCCGGUCGCUUCACUGGCUGUCCUGGAAAGCACUUGCAUCACCGAAGGUCAAGGGAGGAAUGGGGUUCAAGGAUCUGCAACUUUUCAAUAUUGCACUGCUCGCGCCAAAAUCCUCGUCUGCUACUUGGCGGGCGAACAUUGCAGGAAAGGAAGCAUUGAGUAUCGGCCUCUUGAAGUGUGUUGGCAGUGGCACGUCUGUAUCCAUUUGGGAGGACAAAUGGAUUCCGGGCACUAGAUCUAUGACUCCGGUAGCUCACAUUGGCAAUGCACACUUACAUCGAGUUUCUUAUUUGAUUGAUGCUAAAACUUGGAUGUGGAAAUCUCAAGUGAUAAGAGAAAACUUCAUACCCCCUGACGCAGAUGCUAUUCUGAAUAUCCCCCUAAGGGUCGGUGGCGGUGAUGAUAUCCUGGCUUGGGCCUUUGAGAAAUCUGGUUCAUACAUUGUCAGAUCAGCCUAUCACUCUCUUAUGACUCAUAACGCCUAUCACUCUCUUAUGACUCAUAACAAGCACACUGCUCUGGAGGAAGGGACAUCUAUGAGAAUGAUUAGGGAAACUUUGGCUUUGCUUGAUCUUCCGAAGGAGCACACACACUUAUUCCCAGGCCACGGGUGGCGGCCACCCGAGGAAGAUGAAAUCAAGAUAAUACUGAUGGCAGUAUUGCUAUGGAAGCUCGAAGAGGAGGAGUGGGAGGAGUUGCUCGUUCCCAUUCCACAUUUAGAGCUGCAUGGUGCAAACCUUAUCAGGGGAUUACCGACCCCCUCAUCUCUGAAGCCCUUGCACUCCGGGAUGGUGUCAUCUUUGCAAGGCUGA